rnacentral:rRNA from 1 species
UACGGAGGGGGCUAGCGUUGUUCGGAAUUACUGGGCGUAAAGCGCACGUAGGCGGCUUUGUAAGUUAGAGGUGAAAGCCCGGGGCUCAACUCCGGAAUUGCCUUUAAGACUGCAUCGCUAGAAUUGUGGAGAGGUAAGUGGAAUUCCGGGUGUAGAGGUGAAAUUCGUAGAUAUUCGGAAGAACACCAGUGGCGAAGGCGGCUCACUGGCCCGGUACUGACGCUGAGGUGCGAAAGCGUGGGGAGCAAACAGG